rnacentral:rRNA from 1 species
AUUGAACGCUGGCGGCGUGCUUAACACAUGCAAGUCGAGCGGUAACAGGUGUAGCAAUACAUGCUGACGAGCGGCGAACGGGUGAGUAAUGCUUCGGAAUCUUCCUCGUAGUGGGGAACAACCUGGGGAAACUCAGGCUAAUACCGCAUACGAACUACGGUUGAAAGCAGGGGAUCGCAAGACCUUGCGCUAUGAGAUGAGCCGAAGUCGGAUUAGCUAGUUGGUGAGGUAAAGGCUCACCAAGGCGACGAUCCGUAGCUGGUCUGAGAGGACGACCAGCCACACUGGGACUGAGACACGGCCCAGACUCCUACGGGAGGCAGCAGUGGGGAAUAUUGGACAAUGGGCGCAAGCCUGAUCCAGCGACGCCGCGUGUGUGAGAAGGCCUGCGGGUUGUAAAGCACUUUUAGUGGGAUGAAAAGCCAAGGGCUAAUACCCUUUGGUCUUGACCUAACCCAAGAAAAAGCACCGGCUAACUCUGUGCCAGCAG